rnacentral:rRNA from 1 species
AGCGGUAGCACAGAAGAAGCUUGCUCUCGGGUGACGAGCGGCGGACGGGUGAGUAAUGUCUGGGAAACUGCCUGAUGGAGGGGGAUAACUACUGGAAACGGUAGCUAAUACCGCAUAAUGUCGCAAGACCAAAGUGGGGGACCUUCGGGCCUCAUGCCAUCAGAUGUGCCCAGAUGGGAUUAGCUAGUAGGUGGGGUAACGGCUCACCUAGGCGACGAUCCCUAGCUGGUCUGAGAGGAUGACCAGCCACACUGGAACUGAGACACGGUCCAGACUCCUACGGGAGGCAGCAGUGGGGAAUAUUGCACAAUGGGCGCAAGCCUGAUGCAGCCAUGCCGCGUGUGUGAAGAAGGCCUUCGGGUUGUAAAGCACUUUCAGCGGGGAGGAAGGCGUUAAGGUUAAUAACCUUGGCGAUUGACGUUACCCGCAGAAGAAGCACCGGCUAACUCCGUGCCAGCAGCCGCGGUAAUACGGAGGGUGCAAGCGUUAAUCGGAAUUACUGGGCGUAAAGCGCACGCAGGCGGUCUGUCAAGUCGGAUGUGAAAUCCCCGGGCUCAACCUGGGAACUGCAUUCGAAACUGGCAGGCUAGAGUCUUGUAGAGGGGGGUAGAAUUCCAGGUGUAGCGGUGAAAUGCGUAGAGAUCUGGAGGAAUACCGGUGGCGAAGGCGGCCCCCUGGGACAAAGACUGACGCUCAUGUGCGAAAGCGUGGGGAGCAAACACGAUUAGAUACCCUGGUAGUCCACGCCGUAAACGAUGUCGAUUUGGAAGGUGUGGCCCUUGAGGCGUGGCUUCCAGAG